rnacentral:lncRNA from 1 species
GAUCUCAUACCAUCAGUUUGUGUCUGAACUCCUGAUUGGAUGAUUGCUAAUCUAAAGGUUGGGAUCUCGCUGACGACAAUCGAUAAACAUAGCCCGACAACCUGCCUUGAUGCCGGCCUAAAGCAAAACCUUGGCUCAACCCCACUCUCGGGAAAUUGAGCUAUCUACUCAUGUGGAAGGUCCUUGAAAUCUUCUAAUGGAAUGUGGGCAUGAUCUGUCUCUGACAUGCACGAUUAAUAUCCUGACUAUGGGCCAAUGGGUAGAUCUUUCUGUCCUAACAUCCUACCAGGCAGUAGUCUAACAACCUAAGGGGCUCGGGGCCGAGUGGCCUAUCAAGUUCCCGUGUAAUAGUACUCAGCUCCAUGUCUGUAUAAAGAGGUAAUGAGGAGAUUAUAAGAUAAGCUUUACUCUAGAGAACUCCGAGUGUACUCUUAUAUUCUCUAUCUCUCGCUUCCUUUCCUCUAUUAUUCUCAUACUCUAGUUGACUUAAGCAUCGGAGGAUCCUCC